UACAUGUGGGGCAAGCGUUGUUCGGAAUUACUGGGCAUAAAGGGUGCGUAGGCGGUUUGUUAAGUCACUGGUGAAAGUUUUCGGCCCAACCGGAAAAUUGCCUUGUGAUACUGGCGAACUUGAGUGCGUGAGGGUGGGGGAACGAGCAGUGUAGCGGUGAAAUGCGUAGAUAUUGCUCGGAAGGCCGGAGCCGAAGGGGCCCCAGCUGGUACGUAACUGACGCCUGAGGCACGAAAGCGUGGGGAGCAAACAGG
rnacentral:rRNA from 1 species